rnacentral:rRNA from 1 species
GACGAACGCUGGCGGCGUGCCUAAUACAUGCAAGUUGAGCGCUGAAGGUUGGUACUUGUACCAACUGGAUGAGCAGCGAACGGGUGAGUAACGCGUGGGGAAUCUGCCUUUGAGCGGGGGACAACAUUUGGAAACGAAUGCUAAUACCGCAUAAAAACUUUAAACACAAGUUUUAAGUUUGAAAGAUGCAAUUGCAUCACUCAAAGAUGAUCCCGCGUUGUAUUAGCUAGUUGGUGAGGUAAAGGCUCACCAAGGCGAUGAUACAUAGCCGACCUGAGAGGGUGAUCGGCCACAUUGGGAGUGAGACACGGCCCAAACGCCUACGGGAGGCAGCAGUAGGGAAUCUUCGGCAAUGGACGAAAGUCUGACCGAGCAACGCCGCGUGAGUGAAGAAGGUUUUCGGAUCGUAAAACUCUGUUGGUAGAGAAGAACGUUGGUGAGAGUGGAAAGCUCAUCAAGUGACGGUAACUACCCAGAAAGGGACGGCUAACUACGUG